AGCUCGACCGGGUCCACGCCGCGGGUCACGACGAGGUAGUCGCGCAUGGCGAUGCCGUGACGGUUCUC
rfam:Nocardioides sp. Soil797 contig_7, whole genome shotgun sequence.